GUAGGGAAUGAUAGUUAAAAUCUAGAAUUUCAAGGAUAAGUAUAUAGCAAUUGUAGAAGAUAUAGGAGGGCCAGAUUGUGAUAGUCAUGAACCAAAAUAAGCUUGGCGCUAUCUCUUAUUUCUUGUUUCUUUUGUUGUUUUAGGUUUUGAUCAAUGUAAAGUGAAUUUGUGGAAUAAAUCAAAGAUUGAUUGAUAAGAUAUUGAGUAUGUAAUUGGAGUAUUGUGUGAUUGAAUUAUUAUGAGAAGAUAUUGAGAGUUUGUUAUCAGAUUCUAUGGGAGAUUAUUCAUGGAUG
rnacentral:lncRNA from 1 species